UACGUAGGGGGCAAGCGUUGUCCGGAUUUAUUGGGCGUAAAGAGCGUGUAGGCGGCCAGAUAGGUCUGUUGUGAAAACUCGAGGCUCAACCUCGAGACGCCGAUGGAAACCAUUUGGCUAGAGUCCGGAAGAGGAGAGUGGAAUUCCUGGUGUAGCGGUGGAAUGCGCAGAUAUCAGGAGGAACACCAAUAGCGAAGGCAGCUCGCUGGGACGGUACUGACGCUAAGGCGCGAAAGCGUGGGGAGCGAACAGG
rnacentral:rRNA from 1 species